rnacentral:rRNA from 1 species
CGNCCAGCUUGCUGGUUGGUGAGAGUGGCGAACGGGUGAGUAAUGCGUGACCGACCUGCCCCAUGCUCCGGAAUAGCUCCUGGAAACGGGUGGUAAUGCCGGAUGCUCCACAGGGCUGCAUGGCCCUGUGGGAAAGCGCUUAGCGGCAUGGGAUGGGGUCGCGUCCUAUCAGCUUGACGGCGGGGUAACGGCCCACCGUGGCUUCGACGGGUAGCCGGCCUGAGAGGGCGACCGGCCACAUUGGGACUGAGAUACGGCCCAGACUCCUACGGGAGGCAGCAGUGGGGAAUAUUGCGCAAUGGGGGGAACCCUGACGCAGCGACGCCGCGUGCGGGAUGGAGGCCUUCGGGUUGUAAACCGCUUUUGAUCGGGAGCAAGCCUUCGGGUGAGUGUACCUUUCGAAUAAGCGCCGGCUAACUACGUGCCAGCAGCCGCGGUAAUACGUAGGGNGCAAGCGUUAUCCGGAUUUAUUGGGCGUAAAGGGCUCGUAGGCGGUCCGUCGCGUCCGGUGUGAAAGUCCAUCGCUUAACGGUGGAUCUGCGCCGGGUACGGGCGGGCUGGAGUGCGGCAGGGGAGACUGGAAUUCCCGGUGUAACGGUGGAAUGUGUAGAUAUCGGGAAGAACACCAAUGGCGAAGGCAGGUCUCUGGGCCGUUACUGACGCUGAGGAGCGAAAGCGUGGGGAGCGAACAGGAUUAGAUACCCUGGUAGUCCACGCCGUAAACGGUGGACGCUGGAUGUGGGGCCCUUUCCACGGGUUCCGUGUCGGAGCUAACGCGUUAAGCGUCCCGCCUGGGGAGUACGGCCGCAAGGCUAAAACUCAAAGAAAUUGACGGGGGCCCGCACAAGCGGCGGAGCAUGCGGAUUAAUUCGAUGCAACGCGAAGAACCUUACCUGGGCUUGACAUGUUCCCGACAGCCGUAGAGAUGCGGCCUCCCUUCGGGGCGGGUUCACAGGUGGUGCAUGGUCGUCGUCAGCUCGUGUCGUGAGAUGUUGGGUUAAGUCCCGCAACGAGCGCAACCCUCGCCCCGUGUUGCCAGCAUUUCGGAUGGGAACUCACGGGGGACCGCCGGGGUUAACUCGGAGGAAGGUGGGGAUGACGUCAGAUCAUCAUGCCCCUUACGUCCAGGGCUUCACGCAUGCUACAAUGGCCGGUACAGCGGGAUGCGACAUGGUGACAUGGAGCGGAUCCCUGAAAACCGGUCUCAGUUCGGAUCGGAGCCUGCAACCCGGCUCCGUGAAGGCGGAGUCGCUAGUAAUCGCGGAUCAGCAACGCCGCGGUGAAUGCGUUCCCGGGCCUUGUACACACCGCCCGUCAAGUCAUGAAAGUGGGCAGCACCCGAAGCCGGUGGCCUAACCCCUGCGGGGAGGAGCCGUCUAAGGUGA